rnacentral:rRNA from 1 species
GCUUACGGCCAUACCAGCCUGGGUACGCCCGAUCUCGCCUGAUCUCGGAAGCGAAGCAGGGUCGGGCCUGUUUAGUACUUGGAUGGGAGACCGCCUUGGAAUACCAGGUGCUGUAAGGA